AGAUUGACCUCGGAUCAGGUAGGGAUACCCGCUGAACUUAAGCAUAUCAAUAAGCGGAGGAAAAGAAACCAACAGGGAUUGCCUCAGUAACGGCGAGUGAAGCGGCAAGAGCUCAAAUUUGAAAUCCGGCCCCCCUGGGGGCCUGAGUUGUAAUUUGCAGAGGAUGCUUCGGGCGCGACCGCGGUCCAAGUCCCCUGGAACGGGGCGUCGUAGAGGGUGAGAAUCCCGUCUCCGGCCGGCCGGUCUCGCCCGUGUGAAGCUCCUUCGACGAGUCGAGUUGUUUGGGAAUGCAGCUCCAAAUGGGUGGUAAAUUUCAUCUAAAGCUAAAUACUGGUCGGAGACCGAUAGCGCACAAGUAGAGUGAUCGAAAGAUGAAAAGCACUUUGAAAAGAGAGUUAAACAGCAUGUGAAAUUGUUGAAAGGGAAGCGCUUGCGACCAGAGUCGGCCGCGGGGGUUCAGCGGGCAUUCGUUGCCCGUGCAAUCCCCCGCGGCCGGGCCAGCGUCGGUUUCGACGGCCGGUCAAAGGCCCCCGGAAUGUGUCGCCUCUCGGGGCGUCUUAUAGCCGGGGGUGCAAUGCGGCCAGUCGGGACCGAGGAACGCGCUCCGGCACGGACGCUGGCUUAAUGGUCGUCAGCGACCCG
rnacentral:rRNA from 1 species